rnacentral:lncRNA from 1 species
CAGUCACUUCACGGGAUUCCACCAAGCAGCUGUGACCUGAAAGUUGGGUCUCUGCGCUUUUAAGCUCUCCUUUGCACCAGGGUUGCCUCCACCCAUCAUUUCCAGGUCUACUUCAUUUAGUACUCUUGUUAAAUACAUCAUGUGUUUCUUGUUUAACCCAUAAAUAGGAAACAAAGUUCCUAAAAACUUUAAAAACAUCCAUUUCCAGGCCUCCACUCUUGAGGGCAAUUUUACUAGCAGUCUUGCUAUUCAAGCAAAUAGACAUGACUCAUUAAGUGUUCUUUUUUUUUUUUUAUUUCACACAAAGAGAUCUACAUGAAACAUCUCAGUUUCCAUUUUCUUCCCAGUAUCCAGAAAAAUGGCACCAACUUUUUGAGUUCCAGGUCCCCCCUGCUCAGCUGCAUUACCAAGCACAAAAUCUAUUCCUGUGUGUCUGUCUGCUCGGCAAACUUUUCUUUACUUAGCCCUGUAUUUACACAUUUCUUGAUCUUUUUGUUUUCUUCCAGGGGCUUUCCAGUCCUUAAAACUCCAGGUUUUCAUCCACAGACAAGCCACAUGUUUGGCACUCCCAGGCUGAUUUCAAGAUGGACAGACCAAUGGCCAUUAAGAACAUACCUUUCUUCAUCCUAGUGCCUGAUUCAGCUUCUUUUAGGUUAUAAAAUCAAAGGAUUCCUUAUAAACUACAUGGGGGUAAUUGGGACAAAUGAAAAAAAUGAUCAUUGCUUUUGUUGUACUGAAUAUGUUUGUGUAAUACACAAACAUAGAUGUUUUUGUGUGUGUCCUAUAUAUAUAAUGUAUGAUUUAAAGUCUAGUAAAGGGUGUUAGGACAGACUGAGCUGGAUGGAUGUAUCAGAUAUAUCUAGACAGUGCUAUUUCCCUUGGCAAGGUCGUCCACAUUCUAGUGAUCUGCAGCCUGAACUUGUCCUGAGUAUCCUCAUUGUAAUAAUUCUGAAUUUUUUUUUUACAUGAAUUUUCCCAGUUGCUUUCUGAACGCAUGUAAAAUUUGGCAUCUACUACACUGACCUCCCACGACAAUCAAGUGCACAGUUUAGCUCUUCACAGUGUACUUAAAUUCCUCCUCUUUUUGUGUCUGAGACAUCUUAGUUAGAUUUUAUGUUCUUCUGAUGUUGUAAGACUCAGUGAAUAAUAACUUUCUAUCUGUCUCUUCUUUCUGCUCAUGUUUUCAUCAUGUCCCUCACAUCUAUCCCUCUGUUAUGUUUUUUCCAAGCUGAAGUGUUCUUCUCUAGUUAGUUGUCUUUCAUACAGAAGCUGGUCCUCUGAUCAUCCUUCCUCUUUCCAGCCUAUUUUAAUGUUACAAUAUACUUUUCAAGACUGAAGAGAUAGAACCAUCUGUAUUAUUGAAGUUAUGGUCAGAAUAGGUUUAAAUAAUCAUGUAGUGAAGUUUGCUGCUGUUGUCAUCAUCCUAGUGCUUCCUACCAUUCAUCUUAUUUGCUUGACUCUUCUUAUUUGCUUGACCAGUACAGAGUGUUGAGCUAACAUUAUGAAUAUGACGUGUAGAUCUUUUUUCUAAACACGUCAAAUUGCAUUUAUCAACUUGAAAUAUAUCUGCCUUUUUAUUGCUUCAUACAAUCCAUUGGCAAUACUCUAGACAUUUUGGGCUUACUUAAGUUGAAUAGCUUAGCAUCCUUGGCAAAUUCAAAUUCUAGACCUUUUAUGCAUAUCCUGCACUUCAUAAACCCUAUUUUCCUUUUUUUUUUUUUUUUUUUCUAUGUUCACCUGUGAACUCCCCUUGUUUCUUAUUUUUCUGUGUUUUUCAGUCUCUGGAAGGACUUAUGAAAGGCCUGUGCAUAUAAAGAUAGUUUCAGGAAAGCUGAAGCUCACCUGGAGCUACUGUUUACUGGAGACAACUACAGUAACAAGAAGAGUUCCUGCUGCCUUAGCAGUUUAAAUGGUAAAAGGCUAAAUAAGAAUAAAAACAAAAAAAAAAAGUUUCA